AUUGAACGCUGGCGGCAUGCCUUACACAUGCAAGUCGAACGGCAGCGCGGGAGCAAUCCUGGUGGCGAGUGGCGAACGGGUGAGUAAAGUAUCGGAACGUGCCCAGUCGUGGGGGAUAACGUAGCGAAAGUUACGCUAAUACCGCAUACGAUCUAUGGAUGAAAGCGGGGGAUCGCAAGACCUCGCGCGAUUGGAGCGGCCGAUAUCAGAUUAGGUAGUUGGUGGGGUAAAGGCUCACCAAGCCGACGAUCUGUAGCUGGUCUGAGAGAACGACCAGACACACUGGGACUGAGACACGGCCCAGACUCCUACGGGAGGCAGCAGUGGGGAAUUUUGGACAAUGGGCGAAAGCCUGAUCCAGCCAUGCCGCGUGCAGGAUGAAGGCCUUCGGGUUGUAAACUGCUUUUGUACGGAACGAAAAGGUUUGGCCUAAUAAGCUGAGCUCAUGACGGUACCGUAAGAAUAAGCACCGGCUAACUACGUGCCAGCCGCCGCAGUAA
rnacentral:rRNA from 1 species